CGAGGAAUAUUGGUCAAUGGGCGCAAGCCUGAACCAGCCAUCCCGCGUGCAGGAAGACGGCCCUAUGGGUUGUAAACUGCUUUUCCAGGGGGAGAAUUUUUCUGUCGUGACAGGAAUUGACGGUACCCUGGGAAUAAGCAUCGGCUAACUCCGUGCCAGCAGCCGCGGUAAUACGGAGGAUGCGAGCGUUAUCCGGAUUUAUUGGGUUUAAAGGGUGCGUAGGCGGAUUGAUAAGUCAGUGGUGAAAACCUGCAGCUUAACUGUAGACUUGCCGUUUAUACUGUCGGUCUUGAGUGUGGUCAAGGUGGGCGGAAUGUGUAAUGUAGCGGUGAAAUGCUUAGAUAUUACACAGAACACCGAUUGCGAAGGCAGCUUACUGGGCCAUUACUGACGCUGAUGCACGAAAGCGUGGG
rnacentral:rRNA from 1 species